GCCGCAUGAUGACUGUUAUUUGCUACUCUUGAUGUGAUUAUGAUGAAGCAAAAUGUAUAACCACCAAAAUACUGUAACUGAUGGC